rnacentral:rRNA from 1 species
UACGUAGGGUGCAAGCGUUGUCCGGAAUCAUUGGGCGUAAAGAGCGUGUAGGCGGCCCGAUCAGUCCGCUGUAAAAGUCCAGGGCUCAACCCUGGGAUGCCGGUGGAUACUGUCGGGCUAGAGUCCGGAAGAGGCGAGUGGAAUUCCUGGUGUAGCGGUGAAAUGCGCAGAUAUCAGGAGGAACACCGAUGGCGAAGGCAGGUCUCUGGGCCGAUACUGACGCUGAGGAGCGAAAGCGUGGGGAGCGAACAGG